UACGUAGGGGGCAAGCGUUGUCCGGAUUUAUUGGGCGUAAAGAGCGUGUAGGCGGCUAGGUAGGUCCGUUGUGAAAACUCGAGGCUCAACCUCGAGACGCCGGUGGAAACCAUCUAGCUAGAGUCCGGAAGAGGAGAGUGGAAUUCCUGGUGUAGCGGUGAAAUGCGUAGAUAUCCGGAGGAACACCGGUGGCGAAGGCGGCUUCCUGGACCGACACUGACGCUGAGGCGCGAAAGCUAGGGGAGCAAACGGG
rnacentral:rRNA from 1 species